rnacentral:rRNA from 1 species
GACAGAGGGUGCAAACGUUGUUCGGAAUUACUGGGCGUAAAGCGCACGUAGGCGGUUCGUUAAGUCGGAUGUGAAAGCCCUCGGCUCAACUGAGGAAGUGCACCCGAAACUGGCGAGCUUGAGUACGAAAGAGGAUCGCGGAAUUCCCGGUGUAGAGGUGAAAUUCGUAGAUAUCGGGAGGAACACCGGUGGCGAAGGCGGCGAUCUGGGUCGAUACUGACGCUGAGGUGCGAAAGCGUGGGGAGCAAACAGG